rnacentral:rRNA from 1 species
GUGGGGAAUAUUGGACAAUGGGCGCAAGCCUGAUCCAGCCAUGCCGCGUGAGUGAUGAAGGCCUUAGGGUUGUAAAGCUCUUUCAGUAGGGAAGAUAAUGACGGUACCUACAGAAGAAGCCCCGGCUAACUUCGUGCCAGCAGCCGCGGUAAUACGAAGGGGGCUAGCGUUGUUCGGAUUUACUGGGCGUAAAGUGCACGUAGGCGGAUCGUUAAGUCGGGGGUGAAAUCCUGGAGCUCAACUCCAGAACUGCCUUCGAUACUGGCGAUCUUGAGUCCGGAAGAGGUGAGUGGAACUCCUAGUGUAGAGGUGGAAUUCGUAGAUAUUAGGAAGAACACCAGUGGCGAAGGCGGCUCACUGGUCCGGUACUGACGCUGAGGUGCGAAAGCGUGGGGAGCAAACAGGAUUAGAUACCCUAGUAGUCC